UACAUGUCUUUUAUGUCGUGAAGUGUGACA
rnacentral:piRNA from 1 species